rnacentral:lncRNA from 1 species
CAAAAAAAGUUGUUUCAUGGUCUGUGACACAAAGGAGAAGGAAAGAAAAGAAAUUUAACAAAGUAUUACAUAUUUCAAAACAUAAAUGUUCAGGCAUGUCUACACUAGACAAAAAUCAAAGCAGUCACAUGUGCACAUCCAUAUAUGGGAUCAACAUGUGUCCUCAGGCACGCAUAUCAUACUGGGUAGCCCAUUCUUUCAUCUUCCUAAGCUGAGCUCACUAAUCCUCCCCCAAUAAGAUUAAAAAUGAAUGGACUGUCUUGAUGCAGCUUCAACUAUCAUCUCCAAACAAAAAAUGCUCACAAACAUAUCCCUCUCUAAAUGACGUCUCAGCUACUUUUACCGACUAGAAAAUAAUGACUUAGAUGUCCUGGCAACACCUUCAAUUCAACAUAUGAAAAGCACCUUACUCUACAAACAGCCCUUCCUUCCAACCAUUCCAAUUUCUAUUAAUGGAUCCUGGUUACAGGGUUAGUCUGUAUGACACUUUCCAUUAUGUCUGUUUCCCUUAUGAGCGGGGUAAACAUUUAUCACACAAACGAGAACCUUUAUUUUUCUUUGAGAUGGAGUCUUGCUCUGUUGCCCAGAAUUAAGUGCAGACAAAAGGCAUAAAUUGAGAUGUCUGAUCACCCUACUUAUGAAGAGCACACAUAAUAUGGAAAAAAUUCUCAAGUAGAAGCAAGGAAACCUGAGUUCUAUUCCUGGCUCUGCUGCUAACUAUUAAUAGCUUCCUGUCUUUAACCAAUUUUCUGGCCUUUAGUGCUCUCAUACAUAUACUGAGAAAACUAGGACUGGCGUCUAAGGCCCC